rnacentral:rRNA from 1 species
AACGAACGCUGGCGGCAGGCUUAAUACAUGCAAGUCGAGCGGGCACUUCGGUGUCAGCGGCGCACGGGUGCGUAACGCGUGGGAACAUGCCCUUAGGUACGGAACAACACAGGGAAACUUGUGCUAAUACCGUAUAAUAUCUCCGGAUCAAAGAUUUAUCGCCUAAGGAUUGGCCCGCGUUAGAUUAGGUAGUUGGUGGGGUAAUGGCCUACCAAGCCGACGAUCUAUAGCUGGUCUGAGAGGAUGAUCAGCCACACUGGAACUGAGACACGGUCCAGACUCCUACGGGAGGCAGCAGUAAGGAAUAUUGGACAAUGGGCGAAAGCCUGAUCCAGCCAUGCCGCGUGAGUGAUGAAGGCCUUAGGGUUGUAAAGCCCUUUCAGAUGUGAAGAUAAUGACGGUAGCAUCAGAAGAAGCCCCGGCUAAAUUCGUGCCAGCCGCCGCCGUAA